rnacentral:rRNA from 1 species
UUUUCGGAGAGUUUGAUCCUGGCUCAGGACGAACGCUGGCGGCGUGCCUAAUACAUGCAAGUCGAGCGAACAGAAGGGAGCUUGCUCCCGGAUGUUAGCGGCGGACGGGUGAGUAACACGUGGGUAACCUGCCUGUAAGACUGGGAUAACUCCGGGAAACCGGAGCUAAUACCGGAUAGUUCCUUGAACCGCAUGGUUCAAGGAUGAAAGACGGUUUCGGCUGUCACUUACAGAUGGACC